ensembl:snoRNA
AUCGAGGCUAGAGUCACAUCCUGGCACUUCUCAUUGUCUUGGUGUGCUAUAGUUCUCGGAGAAAGACUACUGAUCUAUAUUCACUGCCUGUGGUGUGUCAUGCCUCAGUCAGUCACCUGAUCAGUAACAGUG